CAAUAAAUAACAGCUGAGCCUGCUAUAUAAGGCUGCUGCUGCUGCUGCUGCUGGACACACCACACCGUCUGCGUGAAAAUGGGGCUCUUGACUUACAUGGCCGUUGCUGCUGGAGCAGGUGGCGCAGUGAUCGCUGCUCCUAUUGUUCUGGGAGCUGGAAUAGCAGCAGGUAUGGCUGGUCUGUCAACAACUGCCACUGCAGCUGUGGCUAGUGCUGGAGGAUCAGUAGCAGGACUGCUGGCUGUGCUCAUCUGAGACCAAGCUGAAAGUCAUGAAGGAAUUAAAUAUUAGGAAGAAUAUUUUAUUCUUGCCAAAUAGAAACAACAAAUUACAUUAAUGAAGUAGACAACUUACUGACGAGAACUUGUGUGCAUUUGAUUUGUGAGGGGGACUCAGAUAAUAUUUCGUUUUUUGUUUCUACAAAACACAUUUACAUUGUCAAGUAAUCCAACUUUCAAAUAAGGAAAGAAUUAUUAAUAAAUAAAAUGCAUUUGAAAGGGUUAA